rnacentral:lncRNA from 1 species
ACAGAAACUAAAACAGGAAGUACCGGUGCUAAGGUCCAUUCAGCACAAGUCUGACCAUUCGGAAUACAUGCUUCAAGACUGUUUUGAUCACGCGGACUGGGAUAUGUUCCGGGUUGCCUCGGAUAAUAACAUUGAUGUAUACACGGACACGGUGGCUGAGUUUAAAAGGAAGUGUAUAGGGGAUGUUGUUCCCACUGUGACUAUUAAAACCUACUCAAACCAGAAACCGUGGAUAGAUGGCAGCAUUUGUGCUAAACUGGAAGCGCGAAGCACCGCAUUUAACCAUGGCAAGGUGACUGGGAAUAUGGUUGAAUACAAACAGUGUAGUUAUUCCCUCCGUAAGGCAAUCAAACAGGCAAAACGUCAGUACAGAGACAAAGUGGAGUCGCAAUUCAACGGCUCAGACACAAGACGUAUCUGGCAGGGUCCACAGACAAUCACAGAUUACAAAGGGAACACCAGCCACGUCGCGGACACCGAUGUCUUGCUCCCAGACAAGCUAAACACCUUCUUUGCCCGCUUUGAGGAUAACACAGUGCCAUCGACACAGUCCGCUUCCAAGAACAGUGGGCUCCCCUUCGCCGUGGCUGACUCUGCUGUCCCCACUUGCUUCAAGAUGUCCACCAUUGUUCCUGUACACAAGAAAGCGAAGGUACCAAAAGGGGGUUGGCAUCAAUCAGAGAGGAGCUGUCAGUGGUGCAGAAGUUCCAGUCCUACACCCAAGAUGCCGACCAGAACUACGACUUUGCCAGCAACAGUGUCGUCCAGCAUCUUGAGCCCGGCGAUGAGAUCUACAUCAAGCUGGACCGGGGAUAAGGCAAGAAGUACAGCACCUUCUCCGGCUUCAUAGUCUACGCCGAUGAACAGAUCAUCUAUUUUACGCUAGGCUAUUCACUUCAUCUGCUAUAUUCUCUCGUUUAGAUUGGUUAACCCGCUGUCGUUUAGAAGACAGGUGGUUAAAGAGAAACUGGGGGACCUUGACACAGAAGUGAACCUUUAAAUUUACACUAUAAUGGAUGUUUAGUUUUACGAGUAAAAAUCUCCAAAUGAUGCAAUGUCCAAUAAAGAAAGUUGAACACGUGGAAACAAGGAAGGUGAUGAGUGAAUGUUUCAUGUGUAUAAGCCAAUAUUAAUGCAGGUUAAACAGGAAUGGUGUUAAUGCUUCAUUGCUGUUCAUGGCUUUUGUCAUUGGGUCAACUAAUCAAUUCAUUUCAAUUGGUCUUGUAAGGCAUCUCAGUUCAUGUUAGUCUAUAGAAUAUGGGAAUAAUACUCAGAGGUGAUUAAAACUCUACUGUAUGAA